CUGGCACAAAUGACAUUAAUUGGGUCUCUGUUCUGUAGCUCCCAGACCAGAGAGAUUUAAGCUACAUAUUCUCUGGUCAGGGAGGAGAGGUAUGAACCAUUUAUUCUCAGGUGUCCUUGGUUAGGGGAGAUAAGGUCUGGUUAUUUAUGUACAAGCAGGC